CAGACCUCUAAUCGGAAAAGACUACCCGCUGAGUUUAAGCAUAUCACUAAGCGGAGGAGAAGAAACUAACCAGGAUUUCCCUAGUAACGGC
rnacentral:rRNA from 1 species